CAAACUUUUAGUGCUCAGAGAUUACCACGCGUUUUGCAGAGUCAAUACGUUAUCAUAUGUCUAUGCUAUAUAAACUAUUGUCAGUGCAAGGAGAACCGAUAGCAAUAUUAAGCAACCAUGUCUAAGCACAGUGUGAUUCACCAGUCUACUUGGUCUAUCGGCCUUGUCAUGCAACCAGGCUAUCAGAAUCCUAAAGCAGCCUACAAGUAGCUUCUGAAAGGCUAUAUACGCAUUUGCUUUACAAUCCAGAAAAAAACAGAAGAUUAGGAAAAAAAACAGACUGAAAGCAAUUGCAUAUGGGA